rnacentral:misc_RNA from 1 species
CAUGACCCUGGUCUUUGGGGAAAAGAUGUCUACGAAUUUAAACCUGAAAGGUUCGAUAAUGACUUGUAUGGUGGAUGCAACCACAAGAUGGGGUAUUUACCUUUUGGGUUUGGAGGGAGAAUGUGUGUAGGCAGGCACUUAACCAUGAUGGAGUAUAAGGUUGUUCUGUCCUUAAUUCUGACUAGGUUUUCUUUCUCCCUGUCCCCAAAUUAUUCUCAUUCUCCUUCUAUUAUGCUCUCCCUGAGACCAAAUUUUGGGCUGCCUCUCAUUGUUCACCCCCUGUAGGGUAGUAGUUUUUACCCUGAAAAUAAUUUGAUCAUCA